AUCCUUUGUAGGUGAAAGUUCCACAUCAAGGAAACAAGGUGAUGAGGUGGAUGAAAAUAGACGUUAUCAUCUCUCGUACCUGAAAAAGAGACCUAACCCUCAUGAUGAGGAUGGGAGUUCAGAUAUAGAUGAGCCCAGGAACAAGCUUGGUUAUGAGGCCCUCACAGAAGAAGAGGAGAGGGAAUCGAACCAAGACUUUGGUGGCAAUUGAUGGAGGUUCUGACCUCUUAUCCCCCCAAAAGAGACCUAACCCUCACAAU